GUGGCGAAGCUAACGCGUUAAGUUAUCCGCCUGGGGAGUACGGCCGCAAGGUUAAAACUCAAAGGAAUUGACGGGGACCCGCACAAGCGGUGGAGCAUGUGGUUUAAUUCGAUGCAACGCGAAGAACCUUACCUGGUCUUGACAUCCUGCGAACUUUCUAGAAAUAGAUUGGUGCCUUCGGGAACGCAGUGACAGGUGCUGCAUGGCUGUCGUCAGCUCGUGUCGUGAGAUGUUGGGUUAAGUCCCGUAACGAGCGCAACCCCUAUCCUUAUUUGCCAGCACAUCAUGGUGGGAACUAUAAGGAGACUGCCGGUGAUAAACCGGAGGAAGGCGGGGACGACGUCAAGUCAUCAUGGCCCUUACGACCAGGGCUACACACGUGCUACAAUGGAAAGGACAAAGAGCCGCGAAGCCGCGAGGUGUAGCUAAUCUCAUAAACCUUUUCGUAGUCCGGAUUGGAGUCUGCAACUCGACUCCAUGAAGUCGGAAUCGCUAGUAAUCGUAGAUCAGAAUGCUACGGUGAAUACGUU
rnacentral:rRNA from 1 species